rnacentral:rRNA from 1 species
CCUACGGGGAGCUGCAGUGGGGAAUAUUGGACAAUGGGCGAAAGCCUGAUCCAGCCAUGCCGCGUGUGUGAAGAAGGCCUUCGGGUUGUAAAGCACUUUCAGUGGGGAAGAAAGCCUUGGGGCUAAUACCCUCGAGGAAGGACAUCACCCACAGAAGAAGCACCGGCUAACUCCGUGCCAGCAGCCGCGGUAAUACGGAGGGUGCGAGCGUUAAUCGGAAUUACUGGGCGUAAAGCGCGCGUAGGCGGUCUGAUAAGCCGGUUGUGAAAGCCCCGGGCUCAACCUGGGAACGGCAUCCGGAACUGUCAGGCUAGAGUGCAGGAGAGGAAGGUAGAAUUCCCGGUGUAGCGGUGAAAUGCGUAGAGAUCGGGAGGAAUACCAGUGGCGAAGGCGGCCUUCUGGACUGACACUGACGCUGAGGUGCGAAAGCGUGGGUAGCAAACAGGAUUAGAUACCUAGUAGUC